UGAACUUCAUUCACUCUUCAAUCCUUCUCUCUCACUCGGGAACUAUCGAUCUUUUAGAACCAUGACAAAACCACCGACUCAUCCUUUAGCCUCUCAACUGAGGAUCAUGCUAGCCAUUUGAGGAGUAUUUUAUUUCUCUUUUGUUUCUUUUUAUCUGGGUUAGUACUGAUCUACUCUUGGAAAUUUCCCACAAUUGUCCUGAUUAUGGAAAGAUUUACUGGGGAUAAGGGUUCUUCUCUAUCAUGGAGUUUUAAUUUUUUAUUUCACAAGAUUAAUGAUCUUUAGCGGCUCUAUUUCUCCUUCUUUCCUCUCCUCUUUCUUUACUCUUUUGUUGUUUCUUUUUCGUUCUUUCAGAUUAAUAGCUCAAAACUGACAUCGAUCCAAACCCAUCAUCCCUCAUCCCAACUCGAAAACGAUCUGAAUGGAAAUUUUCUACUUCAAAGCUUGCCUCCUAGCCCGCUGAAGAAAAGCACAGAAAGAAAGCUUUUACUCGGAGCCCACUUAACUCAGUGAGUCACAGCUACCGAUUCACCAUGGAAGGUCAAGAAGGGACUCAGCAAUCUUAUCUCCAGCUAGCGAACAAGUUCUUCCUUCUCUCGCACCCAGACGUUCAAAACAUUGAAAAGGUUCGGCUCAAAAGGAGGUUUUCAACACCAUCAAAGGUUCAAAGCCGAUUGUAAAUCAAAUCGAUGAAUUUCACCGAUUGUUACUGGCUUUUGCUUUUACUCUGGUUUUGUGUCGUUGAGAGUGGACUGAGGAGACUGGAUUUUGGGAAUAGAGACGCAUACUUGUUUGGGUGCUUUCAUUUUAAACCGUUGGUCAUCAAUUAAAACAGCCAACGGCUGUGAUUGAU